ACUGGAGGUAAAUGGAAGUUGGAGUGGGAGUGGGGCGGGGUGGGGCUGGUGGAAGCGCGGCGCGGUGGGCGCGGUGGGCGCGGCGCGGGACUGCAGGUGGAUGGGGGGCGGCGGGCGAAGGGCUGCGGGCCCGAGGCCAGAAGGCGUAGGCCCGGAGGUGGAGCAAGGAGCCAGGGGCGCGGGGCGAGGCCAGGCUCAGGCGCCAGCCCCACCACGAGACCCUGUGGGCUGGGCUCAGGGUUCCCGGCCAUGUUGGUGGCGCAGAAGUGCAGGCCGGGCAAGGGCGAGCGUGGCGCCGCCCGUGUGUGUCUCCAGCCCGGUUGCAGGCGCCGAAGCCCCGCUACUGGGCCGUGUGGGCGAGUGUCCCCACGGGGGGAGGAUGCGGCCGGCGGCCGGCCAGGUGGCUCGUGUCUCCUUCCCAAGGAGACGUGGGAAAGGCCACCAGGAGGCGGAGGAGACGCCUCUCUCCUGCCUCGGAAAAGCAGGUGAGCGCCUUCACCUUGGGGCGUCGUGGAGCCCGUAGGUGGAAGUCGAGGACGGCCGUGACGUCAGGGUGGGACCGGGAGAGCUUAGCACGUACAAAGCGGGACUGCGCGACAGUCUUUCGGCGACGACACUGUUCUGUGUGUACGUGGUCACGUGUCUUUAUACACACGUGUACCACGCAUCAAGUACGAAGUUCAAGAUGUACCAAGUUCAAGAUAAACGAAGAGCUGUGAAACCAUCACCACAAGCAAGUUUGGAACAUGCUCGUCACUCCAAGAAGAAACCUCCUUUUUAGCAGUGCCCCACCACACCCCUUCUGCAACCCCUGGCGAUUACUAAUCUGAUUUCUGCCGCUAUGGAUCUGCCUAUUCUGGACAUUUGUGUAAAUGGAGUCAUACAAUAGUACAGGGCCUUUUUCACUCAGCAUAUCGUUCACCCACAUUGUGCAGGUGUCAGUACACCUCAUUUUAUUGCCAAAUAACAUUCUAUUGUAUAUUCUAAUCCAUUUUAAUGCAUUCAUUGUAUAGACAUAUCACAUUUUUACCCAUUAAGGUGAUCGGCAUUUGGAUUUUUUUCCCACAUUUUUGAUACUAUGAAUAACACUGCUAUGAAUAUUCACGAACAAGA